AUUCUCCCUAGUAACGGCGAGUGAAGCGGCAACAGCUCAAAUUUGAAAUCUGGCUCUUUCAGAGUCCGAGUUGUAAUUUGCAGAGGGCGCUUUGGCGUUGGCAGCGGUCCAAGUUCCUUGGAACAGGACGUCACAGAGGGUGAGAAUCCCGUACGUGGUCGCUGGCCUUCGCCGUGUAAAGCCCCUUCGACGAGUCGAGUUGUUUGGGAAUGCAGCUCUAAAUGGGAGGUAAAUUUCUUCUAAAGCUAAAUACUGGCCAGAGACCGAUAGCGCACAAGUAGAGUGAUCGAAAGAUGAAAAGCACUUUGGAAAGAGAGUCAAAUAGCACGUGAAAUUGUUGAAAGGGAAGCGCUUGCAGCCAGACUUGCCUGUAGUUGCUCAUCCGGGCUUUUGCCCGGUGCACUCUUCUGCGGGCAGGCCAGCAUCAGUUUGGGCGGUUGGAUAAAGGUCUCUGUCAUGUACCUCUCUUCGGGGAGGCCUUAUAGGGGAGACGUCAUACAACCAGCCUGGACUGAGGUCCGCGCAUUUAUGCUAGGAUGCUGGCGUAAUGGCUGUAAGCGGCCCGUCUUGAAACACGGACCAAGGAGUCUAACAUCUAUGCGAGUGUUUGGGUGUCAAGCCCGAACGCGUAAUGAAAGUGAACGGAGGUGGGACCCCAUUAGGGUGCACCAUCGACCGAUCCUGAUGUCUUCGGAUGGAUUUGAGUAAGAGCAUGGCUGUUGGGACCCGAAAGAUGGUGAACUAUGCUUGAAUAGGGUGAAGCCAGAGGAAACUCUGGUGGAGGCUCGCAGCGGUUCUGACGUGCAAAUCGAUCGUCAAAUUUGGGCAUAGGGGCGAAAGACUAAUCGAACUAUCUAGUAGCUGGUUCCUGCCGA
rnacentral:rRNA from 1 species